rnacentral:misc_RNA from 1 species
GUAGGUGAACCUGCGGAAGGAUCAUUAACACGUACGAAAGUACAACCACCAACCGAGCGAACUGUUUUUACCUCCCCGGAUGUCUAAGGAUCGACACAAUGACAAAGGCUUAUCUUUGAAUGGUAAUGGGCAGCCUGACCUGAAGUUAAAUCUUCUUUUCGGUAACUGUUAGCAUGCGUCUUGUGCACUGCGUAGGUCUGCUGUUGUGCUGUGUGUGGCGAGUGUAAAAAGCUUGUCAUAUGUGGUAUGAUGUCUAGCGCCUUGCGACGAUCCCUUCCGGACCCCCGAAAUUAACCAUAUGCCAAUCCACUUGAAUAACCCUUUGAAUUGCAUUUGACUGAUGUUAAAGCUCUACUAUGAAAAUAGUAUGGGUGACUAGAUUUAAUUCUAACUAAGCACAACUCUUAGCAAUGGAUAUCUAGGUUCUC